UAAAAAAAAUGUAUUUCUUCUGGCACUGAUGAAAACCCAUUGCACCUGGCAGAAGAAAUAAGAAACAACCCUCCAGCCCUAGAGAAGUGGUGAGGACAUAUUUUUAAUAAAAACUCUAACUGGGGGAAGGAGCAGGAACAUGAAAGCCACAUCCAGGAGACCCAGGGAUGCUUCUCUCCUUCACUUUCUGCCACAGGGCCAGGAUUGCGGGGUAAACUUCAAGAGACAGACCUCCUGUGAAACACACUAAAAGGGAAGAUUGGACCGCAAAGGUGGAAUAGAAAUGGAGGAAAAAACGUUGGGAAGCCAGCCUGUACUUUAAACACAGUAGAGCCAUUAGAACAGAACACUGAGAACCAGAGGUUUGAGUCAUGAGCAGAAACCUUUAUAUCCCAAAUCUGGACUAAAGACAAAGGUAACUUAAAAUUGGCUGUCCCCAGCAAAAUCAAUUCCCACAUGGUGAUGCAGCUAAGAAUCAUCAGUAGCCAUUACUCCUAGAAGCUCAUGGAAUUUGAAAGACCAAACAGAAGCUUUGGCAAGCCAUGGGAUAACCCAGAAGAAACCUGUGUGAAAGUUCUUAUAUGGAGAGUGAGUAGAGAGAUCUGGAAAUAUGUGUUUCUAAACAAUGGCAAGAAAUCUAGCAACUGGCAAUUAUACAAGAUUUUCUUUUUGUAAACAACACUGGAAUUUAAAUUAUUUUCAGGUAGCAAUGCCAGGAAUUUCUAAGGAAAUAUAAGGAUGAAAUGAGUUGAAAGAAAGAAGAGAUACUGGAGACCUGUUAAAUUAGGUAAAACAAAGAAAAAUUAAGGAAAUAUUUAGAAGAAGUAGUAAGACUAUCAAAUUUAAAUCUGUAGUUCCUUCCCCUCUGUGUAAAGAUGUCUUUAAUAUGGUAAUGGAUGUCAGAGGGUGGGGAGAGAGGCUGCAAUCACAUCAAUAGGAGAUAAGAGGACUCCAUCUUUUCUGCAUAUAAAGCUUUAGACCUGCAUUUUAUUUCAAGUUUGGUGAACAGCAAUCAGUUCCCAUUUGUGAUUAGACUCUGUCUUUUCACCGAAGAGAGGGUUGAGACAGAGUUUUAAAGGUUAUUCUACACUAGACAAAAGGAGUACAUGAAAAAUAAAAGGCUUUUCAAAUGAUCUAAAGUGCCCUUG
rnacentral:lncRNA from 1 species